GUGGGGAAUAUUGGGCAAUGGGCGAAAGCCUGACCCAGCAACGCCGCGUGAAGGAAGAAGGUCUUCGGAUCGUAAACUUCUAUCCUUGGUGAAGAUAAUGACGGUAGCCGAGAAGGAAGCCCCGGCUAACUACGUGCCAGCAGCCGCGGUAAUACGUAGGGGGCAAGCGUUGUCCGGAAGGAUUGGGCGUAAAGGGCGCGUAGGCGGCCUGGUAAGUCUGGAGUGAAAGUCCUGCUUUUAAGGUGGGAAUUGCUUUGGAUACUGUCGGACUUGAGUGCAGGAUAGGUAAGUGGAAUUCCCGGUGUAGCGGUGAAAUGCGUAGAGAUCGGGAGGAACACCAGUGGCGACGGCGACUUACUGGACUGUAACUGACGCUGUGGCGCGAAAGUGUGCGGAGCAAACAGGAUUAGAAACCCGGGUAGUCC
rnacentral:rRNA from 1 species